GUAUAGGUUUAAUGACUGCGACUAGCACAAUCUUUAAAAGACAUUCUGUAACUUUAUAGUGUAUAUGAAAACAUAGCCUUUGAAAAAGCAAAAGCAAGGCAGGAGAAGGGCUUGCACCCAGUCCCCCAAACCGCAUUGCUGCGAGAGAGUUCACUUUGCUUUUCAAAGACUACAAAAGGUGCACAAGAGAAGAUAAAUAGUAUGGAACGAGCACAUGCUCAGUGAAGAGCCAGCAUCAGAACCAACGUAUUCAAUAAUGAUCCUUCCGCAGGUUCACCUACGGAAA
rnacentral:misc_RNA from 1 species